AUUGAACGCUAGCGGGAUGCCUUACACAUGCAAGUCGAACGAGUGGCGGACGGGUGAGUAAUGUCUGGGAAACUGCCCGAUGGAGGGGGAUAACUACUGGAAACGGUAGCUAAUACCGCAUACCAUCGGAUGUGCCCAGAUGGGAUUCGCUAGUAGGUGGGGUAACGGCUCACCUAGGCGACGAUCCCUAGCUGGGCUGAGAGGAGGACCAGCCACACUGGAAAUGAGACACGGUCCAGACGCCUACGGGAGGCAGCAGUGGGGAAUAUUGCACAAUGGGCGCAAGCCGGAUGCAGCCAUGCCGCGUGUAUGAAGAAGGCCUUCGGGUUGUAAAGUACGUUCAGCGAGGAGGCGUUACUCGCAGAAGAAGCACCGGCUAACUACGUGCCAGCCGCCGCGGUAAUUC
rnacentral:rRNA from 1 species